rnacentral:rRNA from 1 species
CAGACCUCUAAUCGGAAAAGACUACCCGCUGAGUUUAAGCAUAUCACUAAGCGGAGGAGAAGAAACUAACCAGGAUUUCCCCC